CCUUCUCCAGGAAAUGUUCCUGACCCAAGGAUCGAACCUGGGUUUCCCACAUUGCAGGCAAAUUCUUUACUGCCUGAGCCACCAGGGAAGCCCAUGAAAUCACCUUCAGGGCUUUUUGAAUUCUUAAGCGUUUUUUUCCAGGAGGGGAAAUGAGACUCCCAGGGGCUCCCUCUUAGGGUUUCCGGGUUCGGGCCCCCGGUCACUCCACAUAGACUGAACUGUUGCUUAAAUAAAAUCCUUGCAGCAAGUAGCGCAAGUAUCUCCAGCUGUGCUUACACGAUGCAAUCUCCUGAGGUUCCAUCCCAGCCCUAUUACAUAGAAACUUCUGGACUUCUGGGAGUGGAGCCCAGGCAAUAGCUCUGUUUCGAAGUCCCUCAGAUGACUCACAUGUGCUGCCACGGUCAAGAAUCAUGGAAGGGGUUGGGAGGCUUCAUGAACUGCAGCCCUGUGGACUCAGUUGCAAAGUAACAAGACGGAGGAGGUGAAGUGAUGUGUUCCCUGGAGGCCACAGUUAGAUGGAGGCAGACCAGGUCUGGGACUUGGGCCUCUGAAGCCCUGGUCCGAGGCAGGCAGCUUCCUAAGUGUUCUGCUGCACGUGUGUAUGGGCUGAUUAUAUCCACACAGCAGCUGUGAAACCGAAGAGCAUGCCUGUUCUAGCAAACCUUUUAGCUGUACAGAGAAGAGACGUCAUGGUGGUGUUUUCUCUACACCCUGAUGCUGUAGCUGAGUUGGAUGGCACCAGAGACUGGGAAGGAGUCAUGACAUGCAGAGAUGCUGGGAGAAGGUACAGGGAGGAGGGAGAGAGCCCUACAGGGUGGGGGCUGGACCCCUCAGGUUGGGAGUGAGACCCCUUCUGCCAGCCUUUCUCUUCCUGCUGCUGCAGCUGUGAGAUGUUCUUCAGGCUCCCUGUUCAUAACUGCACUAACAGGAACUCAGCUGUAUCAUUUCUUUUCUGACCACACUGUGCAGCAUGCAGGAUCUUAGCUCCCUAAACCAGGGAUGGAACCUGUGCCCCUGCAUUGUGAGUGUGGAGUCUUAACCUCUAAACCCCAGGUAAGUCCUUCAGUUGUAUCAUCCUAGGUGUACAAUGUGCUUUCAGAAAUACCCUUCUGCUCCUCAGAGUAGGGCUGUGAGUAGAGGGAGCAGGAGGCCUUAUUUCCAUUUCACAGACAGACAACAAAUGCUGAGGAACUUCACAGCCCUCACUCCAGGCCAGAGCAGCUCACAGCCCAACCCUACCCCUCCUCUGGUAUUUUCUGGAAGUUUCCAAGGAGGAUUUUGUGUGAGCCCAUAAACCAGUCUGUUGGUUUCAGUCUUCAAGCAUCUGUGUGGUUCCUGGGCAGGUGGUCUUCGCCUCCUGAGCUCAGGGAAAGCCCUGGACCCCCCACCCACUGUCAGUGUCAAUACUGAGGGCUCCUUUCUGGAGGGUGCCAGAGGACUGCCCCAUCCCACCCCCAACGCCAUGCUGCUCUUGGCUGCCCCAGCCUCAGAGGUCUGUUGGGCCCCAAGUCUCAAAUGUGUCCUAAACAUUCCCGCAGCUUCUUCUGACCCACUCUCACCAUCCAGUCUUAGCCUUUUGAGUGUUCUAUCGACCCCAACCUCCUGUCUGCUCAGUGCCCACCUUGACCUAUGCAGCUGUGUGACCGGAUCACAUGUAGUAAAUCCCAUUUUGCCAUUAAGUCUGGGGCAGGGGUGUGUCGGCAGGGCCAGGGUGUGGCCUGGAGGGGCCAUGUGUCCCAGGUGAAAACCCUGGGCCCUCUGCAAGCCUCCACCUCUGAACCCGCACAAGGCUCUUCCCGAGCCCGCCCUCCUGGAGAUGGCAGCCUUUGAAGCACACCGCCUGGAUUAUUUAAUAUAAUGGAACAGUGCAACUCGACCCAUCAGAGACAUAAAUGCCCAGGUGUUUUAAAUUUGUUUUCCCGUCAGAAUGGUAAACGGCAGGUAGUAAAAUUCGGCCCCGGGUCGUGGCUGUGGGUGCUCCCCGCUCUCUCUCGGGUGGGCUGGCAGCCGCAUAGCAGCCCCGCUUCUCCAGGACUAGCCCGGGGCCAGGACUCCCCUGGAUGUGGCUUUUCCAAUGCUGGAGAGUGAUUCUACAUCAGGACUGGCCGAGGAUCCUGGGCCUUAGUUUCCAGAAGGAUCUCAGGGUACCUAAAUCUCCUGCCCACCAGGGCCUCUCCCCCAAGACAUCUGUGCAGAGAAACCCACAGCCCCUCCACUCCCGCACCCCCAGGUUAAUUGGGGUAUGAGGGCCUAUAACACCUAUAACAAGGUUUCUGUUGCUCUUGCCAACUUCAAUUAUGGGUGCAUCUGCUUUUUGAUUUUUCCAAGAUGGUUUGAUUUAAAAAAAAAAAAAUCCUCAAACUACAAAGGGACAGACUGUGCACAGUAGCUUUUUGCAGAAGGAAGCACUGGCUCAGAGGAGGUGGAAACCCCAGAAAUUAGUUCAGCUUAGGAGAUGAAAGUGGAGAAGUGGUUGCCAAGGUGAUUAUCAUUUUCUAUUUGCUUGUGGGCAGGGCCUUCAACAGGGGUACCUUAGGGUCUAGGGGGAAGUAAAACCCCUAAUGAAAGUUACAUUUCAUAACAGAGCAGGGUACUCUCUGUUGGUCCGCGUUUUAUGUGUGUGUGUGUUGGGUAGUCGGGCCAAGGAGAAAGGAUGCAAAGUUGUGAAACCCUUAAGGUUGGCUUGCCCUCAAAAACUUACCCAGUAGCUACUAGCUGAAGUGCAGUUUGCAAAGCUGCAUAGGAACAGAGCCAACGGAACAGAGCAGAGACAAUCAUUGGGACUGAGUAGUUGGAGAGUUUUCCUAGUUCCUCAGAUGGUAAAGAAUCUGCCUGCAAUGCAGGAGACUUGGGUUUAAUCCCUGGGUCGGGAAGAUCCCUUGGAGAAGGGAAUGGCUACCCACUGCAGUAUUCUUGCCUGGAGAAUUCCAAGGAGAGAGGAGACUGGUGGGUUCCACAGGACCACAGAGUCGGACAGAAGUGAGCAACUAACACACACACACAGUUUGAAAGCCCGAGGCGGGACAAAAUCCUUUCUGGCUUUCAAGGUCUCAGGGAGGCUUUCUAGAGGAGCUUGAUCUCUGGGCUGGGGGUGGGGUGGGCAGUCAUGAGCCAAGUCGGCCGGAAGGAAAUGAACGGGGUAGAGGGAGGCAGUAGUGAGAGACGACCUUAUAAGACCACAUCCAGGUGGGGCAGGACCGCAGGUUCUUCCGAGAGCUGCUAGUCCCCUUCAACCCCGCUGUUGCUUUUCAGCCUGCAGUUUCUUCCUGAUGACAUUCCCCUAAGAGCAGGAGGGUGCUUCAGAGGUCAACUUCUGGAAACAGGAAACAGUGAUUAGCAAAUCAAUUCAUUAAGGUCCGGUGAGCCAUUGGAUUACAAAGAGCAGCUAUUUGUUAACUGAAGACAGAUCUCGGCCCCUGAUGAGAGCUCUGGUUCUUGGAGAAGGCAACCAAGACAACAUAGGAAGACAGUUGCAGGCCCUGCCUAUGUGUGAAAUUCCAGCGGCCCCGCUCUGCUGAUGACAGAAAUGACCGUAAUAAACCAGGGAGGCCACAAGUCAAACAAAUAGUUUGGUUGACAAAUAGGCGUAUAAACAAGACCUUGAUUAAUGAAUUUCCUAAUAGUUCUCUGUUUAUUGACUCAGCUUGGUCAUUAGGCCUGACAUUGCCCAUGUACUUUGUACGGUACACUAUCUUCCAUUCAUUCUAAGACUCUUUUAUCACUCUUUUUGUUGGGUAUUUUCUGUCUCUCAGUUUUGUCUCCUGGGUUGGACCAUGAGCCUCGAGCUCUGAGAACUCAUUAUGUGCUUAUUGAAAGGACAGCGAAGUUAUGGAGCUCCCUAAAUUGAGAGAAGUGAGAAGGGCCUCCAACUGCAGCAUCCUAAGCCCUUUCAUUAUAACUUUUGUUGCCUUUUUCACUAAUCGCUUAAACCUGCUGUUUGGAUGCUUCCAUCGUCUGAGGUAAGGGAGAAGGGAGUCAUUCCCACGGGUUCAUCCUUCUGGUGUUACAGACCUUCAGGAGAGAGCACAGAACAAGGCAAUGGAUGGAAAGCAUCCCAUGCAAACAGCAGUCUCCUCGGGACUCAACUUGGCCAUGACUGACCGCUUCUGACAGAGCUCACCUUACUACAGUAAUCCAGGGGGACCUCAGCCACCGUGUCUGGUGUGCAGAACCCCAGCCAGGGUUGUCCUGGGAAAGUGCCAGCAUGCCUAGAGUUAAUCACCAGUCCCUAGCCAGUGCAUGCCGGGAGCCACUGGCCUUGUCAACGGCAUGGGCCCUGUGGUCCUGGGCCAACAUUCCAGCCUGGAGUGACUGUGGCUGCAGCUUGAGGUACUUGGUGAAAAGCAGAGGCAGGAGGAGUCGAAGCUGUAAAUGCCAGCUGUAUUUUUAUUGGUCGUCUGCAACUUCAAAGGUUUCCUUGCUUUAAAGGCGGCCUAAGCAGGUAUCCAGUCCGCCUUCCGUGCUCCCGGCCUUGAUGCCUUAUUGAUUUUCAAUGUGGCUUGACUCCCAGGUGGGCAGACUUCAAAACGGUCUGUAUUUUUCUGCUGUCAUGUUUCCAUCCCUGUUCGUUUCCAUCUCCAGCAAGAUGCUGGGUAUGUUGGAGGGCAGCUUUUCCUUUUUCAGCUUUCUCUCCAUAAUUUUCUUCUGGACAGGAUUUUAGACAGCCAGGGUCACUUCUGGGGUGUGUGUCUCCCAUUGUAAGUACCGAGUUAGACCAGCUGCUGGCAAGUGUGAGGGAGAAGAGGCAGUCCUUGCCCUUAAGGGCUUCACUCCCAUCAGUUCUAAGUGUGGCCGUCAGGGAAGGUGUAGCCUUGGAGGGGACGGGGCUAGUGACUCGAUAUGACCUCCCAGUUUAAUACAUGUGCAGAACUGACCGCAGGCCAAUGAGUGUUUGUGGAGCUAUAGUAUGUCCAGCCUUGAGACUAGAAGAUUCACUAAAAUGCUGACUACAGGCUAGAUGCUGGGCUUCAUGAAUACUCACUGUUAGCGUUCCUGAAAUUUCAUGUAAAUUCUCUACUGCUCUGUGAAGCAGGUUGUUCUUGGCUCCUCAUUAUAAAUGAGUCAGCUGGUUUUGCAGGGGUGUCAUAAUUUACCCAAGCUCAUUUAGCAAGCAGAUGACAGAGCAGGAUCUGACCCCGGGGCUGCUCUUGCUACCAUACCAGGCUGGGCUGCCUGUGUGCCUGUGUGUGUCACAGGGAGGAGGAAGGAACAUUGGAAAGUUUUCAUCUCACAGGCAGACACACCCAUUUGUGUGGAAUUAACAAGCAAGGCGAGACCUGAACAGAAGCCUGUGGGUAACCAGCAGCCUGAUACCUCUAACCUUGGACCCCACUGUCCAGGAUGAUGCAGUGGGUGCCUAUGCCUUCUGCAGAAGUCUUCGCUACUCAUUCAUUCAUAGCAGUGUUUUAACACACACAAUUAACUUUUCACUCACACCAGUCCCAGUGAUUCUGCAAAGCAAAUGUCCUCCAGAUGACAAUUCAGGGGUCCACCAGGGCCCUGUGUGAAACACAGCCUCCUUGAUCAACGAGGCUGAAGAAGAGAGGGAAAACCAUGCCUGGGCUUUUCCGUGGUUCAUGCUGGGAGACCCCCUUACAGCACAGGGCUCUGCCACCCUCCAGGGGCUUGAAGGGUGUAGCCUUCCUGUUGCCAGAAAGGGGAUGAAACUGGUCAUGAGUGGACACGAGUAAAGUCUACCGGGUUGUGCAUCCCAGAGGCAAGAGGAAACAGUCUCAGCUGCUCUGACUCCAUAUUUAUCAAGCACAUUUUGACUCACACUUGGAAUCGCAUGCCAUGAAUUCCAGGCCUCCUGACUAGUCCGGGGACCAGCCAGCGGACAGUUAACUCAAGCCAGCAGGUAGCAUCAGCUGAAAUUUUGACACUGAAUGAUACACUGAGCAGUGCUAUUCUCAGGAUAUGAGUGAUUUAGUGUAUUAUCUAAAAUUUAAAUGUUUUAAUAUACCUCCCAAGAAGUUACCUGGCUCAGAAAACUGCAGAGGAACCGCAGGGAUCUGGGAGGCCACUUGCAGGGAACCAACCUUCCACUACCAGAUUCCAAAGGAAUCACAGAAAAUAAAUAAAUAAAAGAAAAGCUAGCAGGAAAAGGCAUUUAAAUUGUGUUUGGAACACAAGUGUAUAAUUUUAUCCGGAAGUCACCUCAGACUUCAGGGAGUGGGAGGGGCUAACUAUCCAUUUGCAAGUGAUGAGCAAACGAGGAAGUGAGAGACUGCUCCGAAGUCAUCAGAAUGUCUGGAAUAAUUUUAUAUUGAUUUAAAGAAAAUUUCCAAGCCUUGUUUAAAUUUGUAUUCUAGUCUUAUUGGGACAUAUUUGGUAUACAGUACUGUAUAAGGUACAUCAUAAUGAUCUGACUUACAUACAUCAUGAAGUGAUCAACACAAUCAGUUUAGUGAACGUUCAUCUUCUCUUGCUGGUUGAACAUUAAAGAAACAGAAACAUGAAUUUUUUCUUUACAGUGAAAACUUUUAGGAUUUAUUCUCUUUGCAACUUUCAUACAUAAUGUACAGCAGUGUUAAUUAUAUUUAUCACGUACGUUACAUCCCUAGUGCUUAAGUAUCUUUUUUUUUUAAUUUUAUUUUAUUUUUAAACUUUACAUAACUGUAUUAGUUUUGCCAAAUAUCAAAAUGAAUCCGCCACAGGUAUACAUGUGUUCCCCAUCCUGAACCCUCCUCCCU